rnacentral:lncRNA from 1 species
CGCGCCCGCGGGGCCCCGCGUCCGGAUCGGGUGUGCGCAGCCGCCGCAGUCGGGGUGUCUUAGGCCUCUUCCCACGCGCGACGCCUCGCCAGCCCCGCAGCUGCGCCCCCCGUCAGGGCAUGGGCCGCUACGGGGUCCCGGGCCCGGCUGAAGGCGGGCAGUCACGGGUGGCGCGACGCUGUGCAGACGCCCGCCUCUAGCUCCUCCCGGCCAGUGGCGCGCGCUGCGCCUCACAGCGGUUGCGGGGGCCUGGGAGCUCGCGCCGGGCUCUGCCGCUCGGACUGCAGUUGCGGCAUCCUCCCCGCCCCCCGCGACCUCCGAGCUGGGAGGCUGGGCACCCCGGCUACCCGCGGCUGCUGCAGCUCUCUAAAAGUUUACAUUUCAAAAAAGGAAAAGAAGUUCUCUGAAUGCUGACAUUACAAUAGGAAUACAUUCAGGUUUUAGAUCUUAAAGUAAAAAUUAUAUGGCUGUUGUCCACAAAUCAUGAUUAUAAAGCAAACACCUAAGACAACGAAAUCAAUUUUCUUAUUUGCUACCUCAUUCUAUUAGAGCCAGCUGGAAAAUAUAAGAACCACAAGGCUUAUAGACACAAGAAACAAGGUGAUUUGCUUUUGCCUCCCCUCGACCUUUUCAUUACCCACUUACAGACAGAAAUUAAACUACUUGCUGGAUUUUUCAAAACCAGAAUAUAAAAGCCCUCCUUUUUCCUUUGAACAAAUUGAUAAGCAUAAUAAAAAUCACUUUCAUUCUUUUUAUGUUGUUUGGCCCAAUAGCUUCAGGAGCUCUAUGAUGGUUUAUUUAGGCCUCACUGAAGCAGAGGCAAUACCCAUACAAUCUCCACAGCAACAAAAGAAAUUGUCAUUGAAGCACAAGGGAUUUAUCAUUAGGACGUAUGUACACGCCUAUCAUGUAUGUAUGUGAUGUUUUUAAAACACUCUACAAAUGUUUUUGAAUUACAACAUGUAUGACAUGUUCUAGCUUAUUAUCCUAUAUUUGGUAUACCAUUUGGAAGUCUUGAAUUUGCACUUUGCCAAGAACUGUAGUUAAGAAUAAAAGGCAGAGGAAACUGAUUAUUUCUUGCCUCCAAGUAUCUUACUGCCUAUGCUUAGUUUACAAGCUCAGAUAAAUGUUAUUUUCAGGCAAGCUGUGAAUUAUAUCAAAUGAUUUUGAAAGACAUAAAGAAAAGCCAUAGCUUGGAUCGUUAGUAAAUAAAGACCUCUUGAAAUUCAUGUUGACUUUCCACAUAGAAAGUGGAAGGAAACUUUUCUGCAAAGCAACUCAUCCACAUAAAAAAUAGUCAAAAAGGACUUCAUUUAAUUAGUGGUAUGUAAAGACUCUUGCAUAGAAAAAGGUUACAAAGUAAUGCAAAAAAGACUAGGUACAGUAAUUUCAAAACAAAUAUUUAAAAGUAUAAUUUUGCAUAACGUUUAACAUUCUCAUAAUGUUUAUUGCUUUCUCCACACAGUAGAGAAAUGAAGUGCAUAAUACAUGCUGUGUCUCUUAUCUUUUAAACAAAAACUCUCACGUGCUUGAUUUCAGCAUAUUAAGAGAUUAUUUUGUCAUUAAACGAAAUCGAAAAAAACAAAACCACAACCCCAUUACAUAGCACUAGUUUAGGCAUGGGCAAAAAUAACUUAUGUACAUCCCAUUGCAUACAUUCAUCUUGUUUUGGGAUCAAAUGCAAUCACUAACUUGACAAAGAGCUUUAAAAAUUGUAGCUUUUCUCUUCCUAGUGCUCCCUCCUUGCUUCAUCACCUCCAGAAAUGUAACUUCUCCCAAAGGGUGACAAGAAUAGAUGUUGCAUCAUUAGGAGAAAAUGAAGAGGAUAAAUAUAUAAAAAUAGUCCUAAUGAAACUGAAUAAAUUAAACCAAACUCCUACAAACUGGAGAGUUUUCAAGUUGGCAUGAAUUAAAUAGCCUCUGGUGGACACAUGGUAGGCAACUGCUCAUAGGUGCACUAUAUAAAUGUAAGGUUUAUAUAAAGCAGCACCAUAUUUUGAGCCAUCCAAAAAAAAAAGUGCCUGGGGGCCUGCAGGCAGAGCAGAAAUGCUUGUUAAUCUGAGAACUGAUGAAAUAAUUGCUUAUACCAAUGCACUGCUAAAUGUCACCUCUUGGCAUGUCUGUACAAAGAAGGCAAACUAAGAUAAAACUAGAUCUUUCAACUUGAAAAUUAUUUUCAGCAGUCAUUUUGACCAGUAAAACCUGUUGGUUUCAGCAGAAUACUCUUCUCUGGCAUGGUAUUAAAAUGUCUGCAGCCUAUUGCAAGACUUCUGUCCCUUUCCUUUCUUAACCUAUCCUCCACACUCGUCUUCCCUUGUGCAAUGUUAUAUAUCCAGAAGAAAACUUCCUAAGCUCAGGCACUUACGAAACACGACUCUCUCACUCUCUCUCUAUAUAUGUAUGUCCCAUCUAGUCUCAAGAGAAUUCAGUCAGGGCAUUUUACUUCCCCAAUUCAGACAUACUGAUGCACUGCUGGAUGGUACGGUCCAUAUAUUUUCCAGGAAACUUCUAAAUGGUAACAAGUGUGAAGUUUUCAAAAGUUGCUGAUGUCAGUUACCGAGCUGCCUUGAACCAAACAAAAAAGGGAGAGAAAAAAAAGAGAAUACCACAUUUCCACUCGUGAGGUUUG